rnacentral:ncRNA from 14 species
CCAACGGCCCUCUUUAGGGCCACAAAUCUGAAAUCCAAUUUGUCU